rnacentral:rRNA from 1 species
GAGAGUCGAGCGGUAACAGGGGUAGCUUGCUACCCGCUGACGAGCGGCGGACGGGUGAGUAAUGCAUAGGAAUCUGCCCGGUAGUGGGGGAUAACCUGGGGAAACCCAGGCUAAUACCGCAUACGUCCUACGGGAGAAAGGGGGCUUCGGCUCCCGCUAUUGGAUGAGCCUAUGUCGGAUUAGCUAGUUGGUGAGGUAAUGGCUCACCAAGGCGACGAUCCGUAGCUGGUCUGAGAGGAUGAUCAGCCACAUCGGGACUGAGACACGGCCCGAACUCCU